CUGUCUUGGGAUGCAGUCAGGAACUGCAGCCUGUUGGGUCACUAGUGAGUUCCCAGUCAGAACUGUAGAGUGGUGGGAGAGGUGUGAAGGCAGGCCUUGUCCUCUCAUCAUGACACCUAUGCAGGAAGACCAAAGCCAUGCUGGGGAUCAGUCGAAUAAUAUUGUUCAUCAUCAUUCAGGAGAGGAAAAAUAAGCUGUCUAAGAAAAAAAAAAUGUUUCCAGGCUUAUUUCUAGAAUUUAUUUAAUUGUACAGGAGCUUGAAGGCUCAAAAUCAGCUCUCCAUCCAAAUGAGACAGGAGGGCCCAACGUUCUCAAGAGGUACUUGAUAAAAAAUCAUGCCCUUGUCUGUUAUGGCCAUAGCUGCCACAAAUGACUCACAGUAACUAAGAAACUUUUACUUCCAUACCAGGUCCUCCUCAGAUGACUCCAAUCUGCAGUAGCUCAACAUGACUCAACUCUUUGGGACCCUUCAAUGGUACUUAGUGUGGAGUGCAGUGAGCCCUUGCCCUAACCAUGCCUAAGCAGAAAUACUGUGGGUAUCUUAGACGGAUACUGUACAUUCCUGAGUUCACCUUUUAAAUUCCAAUAAGAUUACUUCCCCAUCUUCUUAUGCAAAUAGUUCCUAUACCACUUUUCCUAAUCAAGUAGAUGGUAGAGUUGUAUAUUCAUGACUUUCAUCUCAACUAGAGCAGGUCAAGUUGGUUACACCAAAUACUGGCACACCUGGCAGGUCAGCCUAAAGGCAGCAAGCACAGAGAGUGACCUGGAGCAGUGGAGAGUUUCAGGAGCUUCUAGGUGCAGCUGUCAGAUGAUAUCCAGGAAACUGUUGGAAGCAGCUGGCUAUUGAUCCCAAGAAGGCAACAUGGGAGUUUCUAUCACUAGGAGCUGAGGGUCCCUGACAUUCCAUCUCAGAACUAGUAACACUAACUAGCCACUAAUUAGUCCUCAGACCUCAGAGCUGUGGAUACCAAGGGAGAUAUGCUUUUCCCCUUUGUGAUUUCUUUUCAUAGCAGGCCCUCAGAUGAUUGGUAGGGGAGAUGUUUAAGAGGCACAGAUCAUAGAGGAAUACACAAAGAAGAUCCCCUAAACCAAGAGAGGCUUUUUCUAUGGGGUGAUGUGUUGGGUUUUGGAAUCUUGUCUGUUUUUUCCCAGGAUUAGGGGGAGGACCUGUCUAAAUCUGGAAACAAGACCCAAUAGAUGAACGCUUGUGUGCCCUGGGUCCUGGCAACCCCAGUUAUCGCUCUCAGUUCUCACUGCAUGGACGUGUACAGACAACAUGGCAAAAGGCAGCAGCCAGAGAAGAUUUUUUUCCUACCAAACUGCCUUUAUUCCCAGUGACAGUCAAACAAGAGCCAGCAAAGCAGAAGCAGAUCCUCUGGCUGGGCUGGUUACUCCUCCCAUCCUGACCCUGAAACUCAAGGCAGAAUUGGAAUCAGUAGUAUGGAGCCUGGAGUUUCUGGGAUUGUUGCAGAGAGAAUGCCCAGGCCUCCAGCUAGAGGGAGCUACUCUUUGGAGAGCUAGAUGCCUCGCAGCCAAAAUAUAGAGCUCAAGGAGGAGCCUGAGGAGACAACUCACACAAGAAAACAGGAAACCACUUCUACAUUGGGAGUCUGAGGAAGGUGCCUGCAGACCAGGGUCUUGAAGUGCUGCCAGUGCUGGAAGUUCUCAUAGAUGCUAUGAGACACUCUCUUGGCCUCCUAGGUGACUCCCUAGAAUUGGAUCAAUUUGACUUUGCUCAGUGGCAUCAUGCCCCUCCUCAUGCUCACCAUCAGAAAAGGGGUCUUCUCCAACAGGAAAAGGCAUAUGCAGGUACUGCAGGGUCAUUUGUGAAGAUGACUGUUUCUAAAGAUUACUGCCCCAUCACCUCCUCAGCCUUCCUUUUGCUAAUACUCCUUGUAUACCCUCCACUUCUUUCCUAGGCUUCCUCUAAUAAACAAAACCACCUGAUUUAGAUCUCUGCCUAGAUAGAUGCUGAGGAUUCCUGAAGUUUACCCUGCCCAGCACAUCCUGCCCAGCAUGUGGGUGCUUCUCCCAGCACUUCUCACAGCAUACACUAAUGGAGGUCCAGAUUCUGGCCUGUUGUAUCCCUAGUGUUCACUGUUUCCUGCCAUGAUACCGGGAGUUCCUUUUCCAGGGAAGAGGUCUAUGUGAUAGACACUGAGUCCCCUAGAUCCUCUUCUGGGCUGACUAGCAAAGGCCACUGAGGUUUAUGAAGUUGAUGGGAUGGUGAGGAUUGGGGUUUUUCAGAUAUUUUCACAGCCACUCAUCAUUUUUUUUUUAAUUGGGCCUAGGAAUUGGAGCCAUCGUGAGGUCCUUUUCCUUUGCAAUCCCAGUAAUGGGAAGGAAAGUGUCACAGAGACUCAGGCCUGCACCAGCUGCUACCUGUAGCAAGGUUGUUGGGAGAACAUUCCUGUUCACCAAGACAUUAUGCAGAAUGAUGUCAAGGAAUGGGACAUGCACCACACUUCAGCACUUGCAUGUAUUAAUCAGGACACCUGCCUAAAUUCCAAAGACAAUAUGAGUAGAGCCCCUUCCUGUGUACUAUUCUCCUUCUUGUCUUCAUAAGAACCCAGUCAUCUUCAAACCUGGUCCUGGAAAAUGAAGAACAUCCCACAUGUGCUCCCUUUUCAUGGAGCACCAACUAAACUAGGAAGAUAAGCAGUCUUAGUGUUGAUUUGAAAACAAUGAGCUGAGGCUAUACACAUAGAAUGUGAAAGUUAUAAUGAUUUAGAAGACCCCCCAGAGGCUCACAAUCUAUGUUGAUUUAGGUUUUCUGGGUUCCCUGCCCUUCUGGAAUCAAUGAUACCUAGUGUUAGAAUGGAAGGAGAAGUUUUCCUAGGCAGGAAGUUGGUGAGGGACCCUGGGCUCUGGCAGUUGGAGUGUCCUGCAGCCUCACCCUCAGAGAAUAUAUUGCACUGCAUCUGUGGCCAUUGAGAUCCCCAUUGGGAAGUUUUCUAGCUAAGAAAUUCUUACCACUGCCCAGUUAUGAUCUGAGAAUCUCAGUCCUCUCAGAAUGAUAACCCAGGCAGCUUCCCUGUGUCUGAUGAAUGGACACAGGGCUCAGCCCUAACUGAUCACCACUAUGACAUCAUUUGUGACUGCCUAAAAAAACAUGAUGCAGUGACCUGUGUCCAUUCUACAAGGAAUCAAUCCCUUGGCCUCUCUCCCUUCUGCUGACCCAGUGUGCUUCCUGUGAUUAGUGUGAACAUGGGUCUUAGGAGCCCUCCUCCACAUGAGCAGUAUCAGUCUUCCUGGGGCUUCCUGGGACAUGUCAAGUGCAUUGUCUAAGGCUCUUUUCUUCCCUUACAUCUGCUCAAUGAGUUGACCAGGGGGGAAGUACUCCAUUCUAAUUCUCAAGGGUUUCAGAGGUGACUAGCCCUCAGAUAACAAACUUCUGUCCCUCCAGACUCACCUCCUUCUGAAGGUCAGACAGGACACCUGACAGACUGUCUCACAGUCUCCACAGUGGGAAAACUUCAGUACAGGACCCAGAGAGUGACCUGUCUGUAACAGAUGCUCAGGGUCCAACGGGCCAAGUUGGGCAAAGUUUAAAUGUAAACCCCAGUGGAAUGUUGGACCCAGACGUUCUGCAGGGUUGGAGGGGUCAAGAGGAGCUGGCCUGGGUGGGGGCUGGGAAGACAUUCCAUGAAGAGCUCUGAUAGGUAUAGAAGAACCUCUGGUUCUCUUCAGGCAAUUCAAGGGGACACAAGUGUUAUGUGCCUCUGGGUCAUUUUGAAGUACAUUCUAAAAUCCACAGGAGAGGGGUGUGUCAGGUGGCCCUCUCUUUCAACAACUGAAUCAUCUUUGCUUUUCCUGAUGGGAAGGACCACUGAACCAUGUUGCUCAUGAGCCACAAAAUCACGAGUAUAAACAGUCAAUACUCUAAAAAACUGUGGGGUGUGGAUUGUGUUUUAUGUGUAAAGUGUUUUUUCUUGUUGUUAUUAUUGAUUUUUUUUAUCCCAUCCCUGGCUUGCAAAAGACACAGUUGGGUGUUAAUGAAAUAUUAACACCUUAUUAUAAGUAUUUUAAAUAAAUGGCAGGAUAGGGGCAAACCAUGAUA